UUUCUGCUGCAGAGGAAGAACUGCUUUCCGCAAGGCUGUCAUCCCAAAAUAACAGCCUGCGAUUCAGAGACUUUAUUAAGAAGACACCAGGUUUUACUCAAUCUGCAGAGGCGGAGCAAAAAUUUUAUGUUGGAGUACAUAAACUCAUCCCACUGUCUUGGGAUAUUCAAACUUUAUUGAACAGGGAUACACAAUGGAGAUCUACUCAUCAACUGCAUGUGUAGUGACAAUCUUGUACAUUUUUGCUACAUCCUCUGCGCAAGGAAUUUGCCAUCAUGACAGAGGAAGCCACAGCAAUGCAGGUUUCAGUGGACAGAUGGAAGGCAGCCAUCAUCUGCACUGUUGUGGAAAUGUGUCUUACAAGAUCUCAGAAAGCUCCUGCUGUAAUGGAAAUGUAACUCUGGGAUUAAGCCAGCUGGUGACUGACUGUUGUGAUUCUGUAGCUUACAAUCCCCUUAAUGAGAUUUGCUGUAAUGGCAGCAUACUGACUCGAAGCAGCACUCACAUGAAAUGCUGUGGCAAAGUUAUGUACCUGACAACAACUCAUUUGUGUUGUGGUGGCGGCAACAUAUUUGAAUGGAAGGAAAAUCAUUCUUGUUGUGGCAAAGAAACGUAUGACAUGACAACCCACUGCUGCUGUACUAACCUUACACUAGAAGUAAAGCCUAAAAAUGAAACUUGCUGUCCAAAAGCAACAGACACUGAUGAAAGAACAGAAUGCCAGCAAGGCUCUCUUCCCACCCGAACACUCUCCAAAAACUCGGAAUUGAAGUGUGGAUCAACACCCUACAAUCCCCAGAAACAAAUUUGUUGCUCAGUGAAUAUUCAUGAGAAGGCUUCAGCACUUACUAAGUGCUGUGGCAAAGAUGUUUACACUCUGUCAGAUGACAAUGUGCUGUGCUGUAAUGGAAUCCUUCAUCUCAAUGUGCCUGAGCAGUCAGAGUGUGUUGGAGGUGUUAUAUAUACUCCACCAAACACUAUUUGCCAAAUGUCUGCUCGUCCCCGUCUUGGUAAGCACUGCUGUGGAGGACAAACCUUCAAUCCUCGCACACAUAUUUGCUGUAAUGGACACAGCCACAACAAGAUGAAUGGCAAUUUAUGUUGUGGUUCAGAAGUCUAUGACCACCACAACCAGUUGUUGAGAUGCUGCUCAGGUCAUCUCUACAACCUAACACGUUUAAGUGGGGAAACAGAGUGCUGUGGAAACCAUCUGCUGGAAUAUAAGACACAAACUUGCUGUUCUUCCUCAACCAAUGCCAUAAUUUAUGACACCAAAUCAAACCACUAUUGCUGUGGGCAUUUCUAUUACAACACGUCCCUGUGGAGCUGCUGUGCUGAACAUCUCAAACCAACACCAACGCCUAACAGCUCUCCUGCAGAAUACAGGCUUAAACCACUAAUGGACCUGAUCCCUGAAAUGUGCAAUAAAACAGGUGAUGUUCUUGAACAUUUAUUGUGGUGCAACCCGAAAUGCU
rnacentral:lncRNA from 1 species